AAUAAAUUGUCAAUCUCUGUAUGUUCCCAUACCUGCUGAGAUACCACACAUGUGCUGAGUGAUUUUUCGAUGAGUGAAUAUAUCUAUUAAACUCAAUAAGAAAGCUUUUACUUUACAUGUUUCAGGGUCCCACACACUCUAGGAUGGCUGCAAUUUCAUCUCUAAGUGUACUGGACAACUAGCAGUAGUUUAUACAAUUGCAUGGGGAAAUCACAGAAGAUCUGAGAAAGCAUAUCUUCCAGUUUAUUAAUGAGCCAGUGAAUAUCAAGAAAAGAGAAAAGUGGAGGAAGAAGGGGGUACAUGAGAAAGAGAAUUCUUUGAGGAUUUCAAAAAGAGAAGAGUAGAUUGGAGUGCCCAGAAGAGGAAACAUGAUGGAGCAUAGUGAGAACUUAGUGGAGAAACUGGAAGAAUUGUGACCUGUCAAAACAAGCAGGACCUGGGGAAGCCAUGUAGUUUCUGUUUUACAUUUUAGAGAUGAGGUGCAUCUCUAAGAAAGGUGACAUAACCUUUCAGUGUCACAUAUAACUUUGUCCACUGCAAUUGAGCAGAGACAGUAGACAGGAUGGAGGGUAGUGAGAAGAUGAGUAGCUAGAAUACAGACAGGAGAGCAUAGCCUUAGGCCAGAGCUAAAGGGGAAACGAGAGAUUGAGUAGGAGGCCAAGGUUGAGAGAAGCAGCAGUUUUUUUUUUUUUUUUUUUUUUUUUUGUAGUUAGCGGUUGGUGGGAAUAUUGCUUGAAGAAGGAAGGAAGAAGGAAGUCAGAAUAGAGAUAGUCUGAGGGGCAGGUUUGUUGAGACCAGAAAGAAAGAGAGAAACAUCUGCAAACGACAUGCUGUUUCUGCACCUUGCAUUUUUAGCUGUUCUUCUCUCAGGUGGUGAUAAUACAGACGAUCCCUUUGAAUUACAGGUGAGUCCUGGCUGUGAACUACAUUCUAGGGAUACCACAAAAGGCUUCCUACAGACACCCUAUCAAGGAUCAGAUUUUCUGAGUUUCCAAAACACGUCAUGGGUGCCAUCUCCAGAAGGUGAGAGUGGGGCCUAGAGAGUUUGUGAUCUAACCAAUCAGUGUGAAGGCAUCAAGGAAACAGCACAUAAGCACAUCAGAAAAAUCUCCCCCCAAUUCCUCUUGGGUCUCCUUCAUGCAGGGAAGAUGUAUUUCCAGAGGCAAGGUUAGUUCAACCCCUUCCUAUAAGACUUUCUAUACAAGUCUUUCCCCUUUCCACUAUUUGUUUCAAAAAUAGGACAAAUAUGAGUUAAAGAGGGAGGGGGGGUUGCUAGAUAAAAAGUUCCUAGAGGAGGAUAACAUGUAAUAUUAAUGUGGAUAAUUUUUCUGUAAGCUAUCUUUUAUUAGAGUCCUCAUCUGAAUAUCUUUUAUGCCUUCUGCAGUUAGACCAGAGACCUGGCUGACCAGUAGCCCUAUAAUUGGGUCCAGCCAGCUUUUGCUGGUUUGUCAUGUCUCUGGCUUCUACCCAAAGCACAUUUGGGUGAUGUGAAUGUGGAGUGAACAGGCACCUUGCUGGGUGGCUGGAGUGCCAGGAGGAGUGCCAGCUGAGGAGGCAGCUGACCUGUCUUGCCAAGUGAAGCACAGCAGUCUGGGAGACCAGGACAUCAUUCUCUACUGGGGACCUCCUCUUUCCAUGAACUUGACACCAUUGGUAAUCACAUUGCCCCUGAUGCUUCUGAUGGCCCUUGCAUUGUGGUUUAAGAAGCGCUGUUCAUAUCAAGACAUCCCAUGAGAUCCACUACUGUGAUUCUCCCAUUGGAAUGAGAACCUAACAGCCCAGGAGCCUAGGACCACGCACUGAUUCCAUCUUUUCUCUAGGGAAUGCCUUCCUUGUAAUCUCUUUUUUGUUCAGUAGUACUCAAACUUCAAAGCCCAUUUGGGGUGUCACAUCCUCCAGAAGGUUUCCUAGAUCCAUAAGUGGGAAGCAGUCUCUCUUGGAUCUGAACCUAGAAACCACUUCAUUUGUACUCUGCUACAUGUUUACAUUACUUCUUACCCUGAAUUGCCACUACUUAGGGCUUUCUCUCCUUCUAACAUUUAAGUUUCUUUGGGAUAAUGAUCAUGACAAAGGUGCCCUUCCUGUGUGUAAUAAGUGCUCAGUGAAAAUCAAGCCAAAACAAAUCAACCAUAUCCUGUUGCAAGACAUGUUUUUAUAAUAUUUUCUUAGCCUCUUUGCUGAAAACUCCAUCUUGUCCUUCCUUACUUUGUCCUGUUUUCCUGCUUGAGAAACAGUCACGGUGAUGGUAAAUGACUUAAGCUUAAGAACAAAGACCUAAGGGCAUGGGUUAUUCGUGGGGUCAGCUGAAUGAGGACAUAAUACAAUGGUCUAGGUGCACCAGACCUGUGCAGAUUGGCACGCCAUUUGCACAAGCAUGAUAUGUCCUCUAAAGAAUAAGAGAAAGAGGAACCUCAUGACCAAGUGGUUUAUGAGUGGUCAUUAACAGAAUAUGCAUUAGAAAAGAGAACCAAGGUGCAAACCUAGGCACACAGGGUUGCCACAAAUAGGCAUGCAGUUUGCUGAAGCACAGUGAGGAUUCUCUGAAAUGCUAUGCAUGGAUAGCUAACUCAAAUGCUAAUGAUUCUUUUUAGAAUAAAAAGUUUAACCAUUUACCAGCUAAGUGACUUCUAAAAUAAUAAUAAAAAAACCUAUAUCCUGCACCUACAACCCCCUUUUCGCUUGAGGUAAUCCUCAAGAGCUCAAUAAAAGCAGUGUGGUUUCUUGAGGCAGGGCUCUUGGUCCUUGAGACCUUGAGGGGUUCCCCCCCACCCCCGCUUCCCACCUUUACUUAAGAUAAAUGUCUCUGUGUCCUGUUUUAUGGUAACCUUUUUUUCCCUAAGUUCCAUAGCACCCCUUCUUCAGCCCCAUCCUGCUGAGCUGGUCUCGGCAAUAUCCCAGUUGGAUUCACAGUCAUGUUGACAGUCUUUCCUCAUUACAUUCAUCCUUGACGUUGUUGUAGUAUCUGAAACAUUAGUGUUUCCCUUCUUGUUUAAAUGUUUUUUACUUGGCCAAGAAAUUCCAUACUCCUUUGGUCCCUCAUUUUCUCUCUAAACUCUUAAAGAUAAAUGCACCUUUGCCCCUUGCCUCACUUAUUUUCUAAAGACAUUUAGUCAACUCUUUUCAACUGAUUCCAAACACGAAGAAAGGAAGGGUGUGCAGGCCAUGUGUGAAGGGUGGUGAGGCUGAUGUUUUACUGAAAAAGAAAGCAAAAGUGAUUAAGAAAAAGAAGCAAGAGUGCUAGUCCUUAGAAUGAAGGUGGGAUCAAGGCAAGGGGUGCUUACGGAAGACAGAUCCCCCACAGGGUGGUGCUAUCUGAGAUAACCUUACCUGGACAUUGGCUCCUUUCAGUUUCAUUCACUAAUUACGAAAUAUUUGUGAAGUGCUGAAUAUGAAACAGGCAUAUUCAGCUUGUAAACUGGUGGGGGAGAAAAUAACCACGAUUGUAUGCACUUGCUUGAAGUUACAAUGUUUAUUGCUUCAGUCUAUCCAUGUCCUUUUUCCUGAUCACAUUUUUUUUUCCUGUUUCGUUUUUAAAAAUUUGAAUCAACUUCAUGUAUGUAUAAUUUAUAUAUAAUAAAAUAUAUCUAUUUUAGGUAUACAGUUCUAUUCAUUUUGACAAAUUUAUAAAACUAUGUAAACAUGGACACAAUCAAGAUACAGAACAUUUUCAUACCCCAAUACACCUCAUGCCCAUUUAUACUUAAACCCAUCACCAAAAAGUAUCACUGCAACUACUGGCAUGCUUUAUGUUAGUUAAGUUUAGAUUUGUCCUUUAUACAAUUUUGUUAAAGUGGAACAAACUGUAUGUACUCUUUGUAACUGGUAUUUUUUUCCACUUAGCGUAUAAGUCAUCUAUAUUUCUCAUCAGUGUAUCAUAGCCUGUUCCUUUUUAUUGCUCAAUUGAAUUCCAUGUAAGAAUAGACUAUAUAUAAUCCAUUCAAUCUUUGAUGAUUAUUGGGUUUAUUUCUAGUUUGAGGCUCUUUGAAUAAAGUCGACAUUGUUUUUUCAUCUAG